GUGAAUCAUCAAAUCUUUGAACGCAAAUUGCACUCUCCUCGGAGAGUAUGCCUGUUUGAGGGUCAGCCUAUAAAAAAUCGACAAGGUUGGUGUUUUGCGGUGGCGUUCGUCGGAAAUUGGGUCAUAUUAAAUCUGUUGGUUUUAAGCGACUUACAAUUUUCUUUUUGGUUACAUGAACGUAUCGAAGAUUUAUUUCUUUACACGUUAAAGGUAUAGAUUUUUAUUGGUUGUGACCAUCAAAUCGGAUCGC
rnacentral:misc_RNA from 1 species